AAAUAAAAUAAAAUAAAAAUCUUCAUUAAAAGCCUAUUGUCUAACAAACUCACAGAACUCACAAAGAAUGAGUCUCUUCUCAGCAUUUCCGGUUCUGUGUCUGUUGGAAAAGAAUUUUACCAUGGGUUUGUUCACUGAGCUGUAAAAAUCUAUAGCCACACAGACGAGACAGACAACAGGUCAGAUAUGGACGUGUGUCUAAAUGAUACCAAGAAAGAUUUAUUUUCUCAUAUGAACAGGUGUUUUCAUUUUAUUUUUACAAUCUAUGACAGUCGUGUGUGUUUGUCUCACUUUUUAAAAUUCUCUAGCAUUUUCCAAGAAUGGACUUGGUGGGGGGAAAUAUUCCUUCUUUUAUUGCUGAAUGAAAAAAAAAAAUACACUUCCACUGACUUGAGGGGAAAAAAAAUCAUCUUCUGCUUGUACCAUGCACCCAUCUAACCUUGACCAUAAGGACAUGCAGAGGUGAGGUGUUUAGAUGUUUAGACGGGGGGAACGAAAUAGAAAUAAACUGGCAGGACACAACCGUUGAGUAGCGAUAUCAUAUUUAAACUAACAUGUCUUUUUGGCAUUUCUCAAACAUAGAAAUAAGACCCAAAAUGUAAGGAAGAAAGGUAGGGGAUCAUAAUAAUUUCUGCCCAUACUUCAAACAAAACAUCUCUUCAUUUAAAAAACAAAAAAAACCAAACUAACAGCAUUACACCCAUUUUAUCAGGACUUGUAAAUUGGUUUUCCACAAAAAUAAUCACAACUCAUCUCUCUCUUUUUUUCAUAGAAGAAGUGCAUGAAAACAUAUUUAUCACGUAUCUGUCCAAUUCUAAUCUUCUUUCGUUAUUUGGUGUUGAUUUUCUGUGCUGAAACCAACUGACUUCACCCCCUAAACAUAUUAUUCUUUACAUCUUUACAAGGAGGCAAGCUGAUGCUGACUGUGGACACUCUUUGUAGAAGGUGAGGAGUUAAAACAGCUGAUUUUAGUACACUUCAUCUCAGACUUAUCCAUACUGAUUGUUUCUUAAUGUAGGAGUAUUUUCAUCCAAACAGUCAGUCAGUGCAGCUGUUUCUGGUUUGGUUUGGGCCCAGUGAGUGCUUCAAAAUGGACAUGGAGUUACAUAUGAAAAGGAAUGAUAAACUGAUGGUAUAGCAUUCAAUAUAAAAUAAUAAUAAUAAUAAUGACCUGCACUAUUUGGUGUCUUAGAUUAACUGCGAAUAUAUUAAAUAAUUAUGAAAUAUGUGGACCUAAUGAAAAACACUGACUUAAAGUUAAACAACAACAGGAAACAAGUAGUUACAUUACAACCAAAAAAAAAAAAAAAAACAGAAAUGCACCGGAACACAAGUAGAAUAUAAAGUUUGCAUAUUUUUGUAUUUUAAUGACCCCUAAUAAUUUUCACAGCUAUUUGUCUUGUCAUUUGAGAAUGUGUUUUUGUGUGUAUGUGAUUGCGUGUUCGGCACAGGAACUUUUCAGGGCUGUUCACACAGGACACAUUCAAACAUUAAAAUCAACCAAAUCCUGCACAGAAUUGAAAAGAGUAUCAUAACCCAACCAAUGAAUUGUUGUUAAAUAUAAACAUGCUCAUCACACCCUCAUAUUCAUUUGAUUGGUCUGUUAUUUUUCACUGAUACUCAUCCACUCCUCUGCAUGCCAGAGUUGAACUCGACACGGCGUCUGAAAAUGUGACUUUCAUGGCAAAAAAAAAGUGCAU
ensembl:lncRNA